CUAUACAUGCAAGUCGAGCGGACAGAAGGGAGCUUGCUCCCGGAUGUUAGCGGCGGACGGGUGAGUAACACGUGGGUAACCUGCCUGUAAGACUGGGAUAACUCCGGGAAACCGGAGCUAAUACCGGAUAGUUCCUUGAACCGCAUGGUUCAAGGAUGAAAGACGGUUUCGGCUGUCACUUACAGAUGGACCCGCGGCGCAUUAGCUAGUUGGUGGGGUAAUGGCUCACCAAGGCGACGAUGCGUAGCCGACCUGAGAGGGUGAUCGGCCACACUGGGACUGAGACACGGCCCAGACUCCUACGGGAGGCAGCAGUAGGGAAUCUUCCGCAAUGGACGAAAGUCUGACGGAGCAACGCCGCGUGAGUGAUGAAGGUUUUCGGAUCGUAAAGCUCUGUUGUUAGGGAAGAACAAGUGCGAGAGUAACUGCUCGCACCUUGACGGUACCUAACCAGAAAGCCACGGCUAACUACGUGCCAGCAGCCGCGGUAAUACGUAGGUGGCAAGCGUUGUCCGGAAUUAUUGGGCGUAAAGGGCUCGCAGGCGGUUUCUUAAGUCUGAUGUGAAAGCCCCCGGCUCAACCGGGGAGGGUCAUUGGAAACUGGGAAACUUGAGUGCAGAAGAGGAGAGUGGAAUUCCACGUGUAGCGGUGAAAUGCGUAGAGAUGUGGAGGAACACCAGUGGCGAAGGCGACUCUCUGGUCUGUAACUGACGCUGAGGAGCGAAAGCGUGGGGAGCGAACAGGAUUAGAUACCCUGGUAGUCCACGCCGUAAACGAUGAGUGCUAAGUGUUAGGGGGUUUCCGCCCCUUAGUGCUGCAGCUAACGCAUUAAGCACUCCGCCUGGGGAGUACGGUCGCAAGACUGAAACUCAAAGGAAUUGACGGGGGCCCGCACAAGCGGUGGAGCAUGUGGUUUAAUUCGAAGCAACGCGAAGAACCUUACCAGGUCUUGACAUCCUCUGACAACCCUAGAGAUAGGGCUUUUCCUUCGGGGACAGAGUGACAGGUGGUGCAUGG
rnacentral:rRNA from 1 species